UAAAAAGACCGAUCAGCAUCCAGAUUAAAGU
rnacentral:piRNA from 1 species